rnacentral:rRNA from 1 species
GACGAAGGGGGCUAGCGUUGUUCGGAAUUACUGGGCGUAAAGCGCGUGUAGGCGGUUGUCCAAGUCGGGUGUGAAAGCCUUGAGCUCAACUCAAGAAAUGCACUCGGUACUGGGCGACUAGAGGACCGGAGAGGAUAGUGGAAUUCCCAGUGUAGUGGUGAAAUACGUAGAGAUUGGGAAGAACACCAGUGGCGAAGGCGGCUAUCUGGACGGUUUCUGACGCUGAGACGCGAAAGCGUGGGGAGCAAACAGG